rnacentral:rRNA from 1 species
CGGUAAGGUGAUAUGAACCGUUAUAACCGGCGAUUUCCGAAUGGGGAAACCCAGUGUGAUUCGUCACACUAUCAUUAACUGAAUCCAUAGGUUAAUGAGGCGAACCGGGGGAACUGAAACAUCUAAGUACCCCGAGGAAAAGAAAUCAACCGAGAUUCCCCCAGUAGCGGCGAGCGAACGGGGAGGAGCCCAGAGCCUGAAUCAGCAUGUGUGUUAGUGGAAGCGUCUGGAAAGGCGCGCGAUACAGGGUGACAGCCCCGUACACAAAAGCGCAUGUGCUGUGAGCUCGAUGAGUAGGGCGGGACACGUGGUAUCCUGUCUGAAUAUGGGGGGACCAUCCUCCAAGGCUAAAUACUCCUGACUGACCGAUAGUGAACCAGUACCGUGAGGGAAAGGCGAAAAGAACCCCGGCGAGGGGAGUGAAAAAGAACCUGAAACCGUGUACGUACAAGCAGUGGGAGCACAGGUUUACCUGUGUGACUGCGUACCUUUUGUAUAAUGGGUCAGCGACUUAUAUUCUGUAGCAAGGUUAACCGAAUAGGGGAGCCGGAGGGAAACCGAGUCUUAAUUGGGCGUUAAGUUGCAGGGUAUAGACCCGAAACCCGGUGAUCUAGCCAUGGGCAGGUUGAAGGUUGGGUAACACUAACUGGAGGACCGAACCGACUAAUGUUGAAAAAUUAGCGGAUGACCUGUGGCUGGGGGUGAAAGGCCAAUCAAACCGGGAGAUAGCUGGUUCUCCCCGAAAGCUAUUUAGGUAGCGCCUCGUGAAUUCAUCUCCGGGGGUAGAGCACUGUUUCGGCUAGGGGGCCAUCCCGGCUUACCAACCCGAUGCAAACUGCGAAUACCGGAGAAUGUUAUCACGGGAGACACACGGCGGGUGCUAACGUCCGUCGUGAAGAGGGAAACAACCCAGACCGCCAGCUAAGGUCCCAAAGUCAUGGUUAAGUGGGAAACGAUGUGGGAAGGCCCAGACAGCCAGGAUGUUGGCUUAGAAGCAGCCAUCAUUUAAAGAAAGCGUAAUAGCUCACUGGUCGAGUCGGCCUGCGCGGAAGAUGUAACGGGGCUAAACCAUGCACCGAAGCUGCGGCAGCGAACGUAUCACUUAAAGCGAUUCAGCGGGUUACGAUUGACGGAGCGAAGCGACGUCAAAGCGUAUACAAAGUCGAGUCGGUUUAAGGAUACGUUCGUUGGGUAGGGGAGCGUUCUGUAAGCCUGUGAAGGUGGCCUGUGAGGGUUGCUGGAGGUAUCAGAAGUGCGAAUGCUGACAUAAGUAACGAUAAAGCGGGUGAAAAGCCCGCUCGCCGGAAGACCAAGGGUUCCUGUCCAACGUUAAUCGGGGCAGGGUGAGUCGACCCCUAAGGCGAGGCCGAAAGGCGUAGUCGAUGGGAAACAGGUUAAUAUUCCUGUACUUGGUGUUACUGCGAAGGGGGGACGGAGAAGGCUAUGUUGGCCGGGCGACGGUUGUCCCGGUUUAAGCGUGUAGGCUGGUUUUCCAGGCAAAUCCGGAAAAUCAAGGCUGAGGCGUGAUGACGAGGCACUACGGUGCUGAAGCAACAAAUGCCCUGCUUCCAGGAAAAGCCUCUAAGCAUCAGGUAACAUCAAAUCGUACCC